GCUGGGAGCUUGGCACCUCCUGUAAUCCGGCUACCCGGAGGUUGGGUACGGAGGAUGGUUUGAGGUCGGGACUCACUGGCACUGAGUGGUCCAUGUUGACUGGACGUCCGCACUAAGCCUGGUGUUAAUACUGUUAAUAUGGACACCUUUGGGAAGUGCAGGUUAACUAAGGAGGUGCGAACAGGGCUAGGGGGGAAAUCCAUCAGCCAAAAUACCGGCCGAUGUGAACGGUAUUGUACUUUGGUAAUUUUAAAUUUAACCCUUUAAUUGCGGUUGUCUUCAAU
rnacentral:SRP_RNA from 9 species